rnacentral:rRNA from 1 species
UAGAAUCGCAAGAUUAAAGCAGCAAUGCGCUUGGGGAUGGGCUCGCGGCCUAUUAGUUAGUUGGUGAGGUAACGGCUCACCAAGGCGAUGACGGGUAGCCGGUCUGAGAGGAUGUCCGGCCACACUGGAACUGAGACACGGUCCAGACACCUACGGGUGGCAGCAGUCGAGAAUCAUUCACAAUGGGGGAAACCCUGAUGGUGCGACGCCGCGUGGGGGAAUGAAGGUCUUCGGAUUGUAAACCCCUGUCAUGUGGGAGCAAAUUAAAAAGAUAGUACCACAAGAGGAAGAGACGGCUAACUCUGUGCCAGCAGCCGCGGUAAUACAGAGGUCUCAAGCGUUGUUCGGAAUCACUGGGCGUAAAGCGUGCGUAGGCUGUUUCGUAAGUCGUGUGUGAAAGGCGCGGGCUCAACCCGCGGACGGCACAUGAUACUGCGAGACUAGAGUAAUGGAGGGGGAACCGGAAUUCUCGGUGUAGCAGUGAAAUGCGUAGAUAUCGAGAGGAACACUCGUGGCGAAGGCGGGUUCCUGGACAUUAACUGACGCUGAGGCACGUAGGCCAGGGGAGCGAAAGGGAUUAGAUACCCCUGUAGUCCUGGCAGUAAACGGUGCACGCUUGGUGUGCGGGGAAUCGACCCCCUGCGUGCCGGAGCUAACGCGUUAAGCGUGCCGCCUGGGGAGUACGGUCGCAAGAUUAAAACUCAAAGAAAUUGACGGGGACCCGCACAAGCGGUGGAGUAUGUGGCUUAAUUCGAUGCAACGCGAAGAACCUUACCUGGGCUUGACAUGUAAUGAACAACAUGUGAAAGCAUGCGACUCUUCGGAGGCGUUACACAGGUGCUGCAUGGCCGUCGUCAGCUCGUGUCGUGAGAUGUUUGGUUAAGUCCAGCAACGAGCGCAACCCCUGUUGCCAGUUACCAGCACGUGAAGGUGGGGACUCUGGCGAGACUGCCCAGAUCAACUGGGAGGAAGGUGGGGACGACGUCAGGUCAGUAUGGCCCUUAUGCCCAGGGCUGCACACGUACUACAAUGCCCAGUACAGAGGGGGCCGAAGCUGCGAGGCGGAGGAAAUCCUAAAAACUGGGCCCAGUUCGGACUGUAGGCUGCAACCCGCCUACACGAAGCCGGAAUCGCUAGUAAUGGCGCAUCAGCUACGGCGCCGUGAAUACGUUCCCGGGUCUUGCACACACCGCCCGUCA